GGAGGCAGAUCUUGCUCGAUUUCGGCCCCAGUGAGAGCGAGCGUCGACGAGCUGUGUGCGAGUCGCGGAUUCGUUUGAAAUUCGGCUCUAAAUCUCGAUUGUUUAUCUUCAGUUUCUUUAAGUCGAAUAAAGAAAAUCAGUUGCUUUGUGCAAAUUUUGUAAAAUGGUUGUUGUAAUAAUGAUGAUGGAAAUUAUAAAUAAAUAAGUAAUUAAAGGAAUAUAAAAUUGUUGGAAAGAUUCAUGGACACUUUUUUUCAUGGUUCGUUUUGAACAAAAAAUUUGGAAAAAAUGAAUGGACUGAUCUUGUUCAGUGUGUGAUAACGUGAACAUUUUGAAGAUUUUUUUUCUUUUCUUUGUUUUCUUAGCGUCAGUUUUCAUUCUCGAGUGCUGAGAGAAAAAAAGAACAAUAAUACAAAAUUGAGAAAUAACGCAUAAUUGAAAAAAAAAAAGAACAAAGAAAGCAAAUAAGUAAUAAAACA